rnacentral:pre_miRNA from 8 species
CGUUACUUCACAGUCGUUCUUCACUGGCUAGCUUUAUGUGGCAGCACCUUAAAGCUGCCAGUUGAAGAGCUGUUGUGGGUAACC